AAGUCGUAACAAGGUUUCCGUAGGGGAACCUGCGGAAGGAUCAUUAACGUUUUGUGUGUGUUUUAUAACAUGACAAUAUGUAAAUAUCCUAAAUUAUUAAAGAGAUGUUACAUCAUCUCGCGUCGUAUACGUAUACAAGACAUUGACUGGUAUAUAAAUCCGCACCACGAGUCUAAUGCGUUACGUUCGUUAAUUCUUUUGACCAUCUAGCGGUGGGUCACCAUUGUUUUUUAACAAAAACUUAAACCAUUUAAAAAUGUAACAAUCAAAGUCAAGGUGUAAUACGUUGACAAAACUAUUACCCUGGACGGUGGAUCACUUGGCUCGCGG
rnacentral:misc_RNA from 1 species